UACGUGCCAGCAGCCGCGCUAAUACGUAGGGUGCGAGCGUUAAUCGGAAUUACUGGGNGUAAAGCGUGCGCAGNCGAUUGUGUAAGACAGGUGUGAAAUCCCCGGGNUUAACAUGGGAAUUGCAUUUGUGACUGUACGACUAGAGUGUNUCAGAGGGNGGUGNCAUCUCACGUGUACCUGUCCCAGNGUAGAUACGUCGCCCCACNCCCGCGUACGGGAGCACAGCAGUUACAGACAUAU
rnacentral:rRNA from 1 species